GAUGAACGCUGGCGGCGUGCCUAAUACAUGCAAGUCGAGCGAACAGACGAGGAGCUUGCUCCUUUGACGUUAGCGGCGGACGGGUGAGUAACACGUGGGUAACCUACCUAUAAGACUGGGAUAACUUCGGGAAACCGGAGCUAAUACCGGAUAAUAUUUCGAACCGCAUGGUUCGAUAGUGAAAGAUGGCUUUGCUAUCACUUAUAGAUGGACCUGCGCCGUAUUAGCUAGUUGGUAAGGUAACGGCUUACCAAGGCAACGAUACGUAGCCGACCUGAGAGGGUGAUCGGCCACACUGGAACUGAGACACGGUCCAGACUCCUACGGGAGGCAGCAGUAGGGAAUCUUCCGCAAUGGGCGAAAGCCUGACGGAGCAACGCCGCGUGAGUGAUGAAGGUCUUCGGAUCGUAAAACUCUGUUAUUAGGGAAGAACAGACGUGGAAGUAACUGUGCACGUCUUGACGGUACCUAAUCAGAAAGCCACGGCUAACUACGUG
rnacentral:rRNA from 1 species